rnacentral:lncRNA from 1 species
CAGUCUUUCUAAAACUUGGAGUCAAUCUUGAUAAGUUUGGCUAUUGACUAGAUAUUGGGCAAAAAUUAGGAUUCUUGUUAUUACUUGCUCUAACUUAAAAUUUUGCUUUAAUUUAAAAACAGAUACAAAGUCUUUGUUUAUGUCGGUGAACGGAGCAAACCAUGCCCAAGAUGGAAAUAAAAUGAAAUGGAUGCAAACUUCUAAGCUCUAGAUUUAUGAACCCAAGCUCUUAUAAAACACCAAACUGAUGAGACAGCUGAUUGACUAGGCAACCACAGCACUACAGAUGGGUGAUGGACAAAAUGCUCCUAUGAAUGGAAAGCUAGAAGAGAGAAGAGAAUCACAAAGGAUGUUGGUUCUAAUGUCCUGAAGGGAGCCACAGAAAUUUAUAUGCAAUGGAGAGCAGUCAAUAAUGUGGAAGAGAGAAAUUGGGAAAGCCUGCAAAUAUAUUAAAUUCUCAGAAACACUUGGGGGGGGGUGAGUUCCCACUCUUUGAGUAGCACGUGUUCUCUGAGUUUGUCCCCUUGCAGGCUGCCAUUCCAAAUGUAUAUGUUUCCCACUUAUGUGCACUAGGCUUCUUUCAUACCUAUUUAAUUUGUAGGAGUGUGAGUUCGAAGUUUUUGGAAAGACUGUCUUGUUGUUACUUUUAUUACAAUAUUAUUUGAUUUAAUGAUUUUUCUUUAAUUUAAAUGUGCCUUUCCAUUGGCUAUAUAAAAUAAUUACAUAGUUGUAAUUACAUAUCUAAAUAUAUAGUAUUGAUAUAUAUUUUCAUCAAUCAAAUUUAU